AGAUUUCACCUUUACAUCAUCUCUUGAAUAUGUCUCCUUCUCUCUUCUGACACAGACACUACUCUAACAUAGGCCCUAAUCAUCUCGUGCAUGGGUUGAUAAAUAGCCUGAUGAUGACUCUGUCUGCCUCAGGUCUCUCCCCACUCUAAUCCAUCCUCCAUUCAGCCAUUAAUGUGAUUUUCCUGAAGCAAAGAUUUGAUCAUGUCAUCCCCUUAUUCAAUAAACUCCAGUGACGUUGACAUUCAAAGCCUUCUCUUGCCUUUUCAGUCUUUGUCUGCCUUAUUCCCAGACACAUACUCUUCCAUCCAAUGAUGGUGGCUUCCUGGCUAUUCCAUGAACAAGAUGUUCCAAUUUUCAGCUCAGGGUAUUUUCUCUGGUUCUCCCCUUUGCUUGGAACACUCUCCCGACUCCGCUCUCACGAGUGGCCUCUCUGGCUUCCUCUCAGCUUCAGGGCUGCCAUCCACUAGUACAUUAUGCCAACUUGGGAAAAUAAGACUCAUCUUCCUGAGUUCAAAUCUGACCUCGGAUACUUCCUAGUUGUCUGACCCUGGAAAGGGUUCCAUUUCAAGAGGAUAGAGUAGGAGGGAAGAUAUUUCCAGAAAUGAUGAUGAUCUGAAAAGGCAUCAAUAAAGCGUAUUAAUAAAUGAAUGAAUGAAUUGGA
rnacentral:lncRNA from 1 species